AACAUCGCGCACCUGCGGGAACCUGCGGAGGGAUCAUUACCGAGUGUGGUCCCUUAUAAGGGGCGCCUCCCGUCCUUUGCAGGGCCUUUAGGGGCUUUUUGACUUUGCUUCGGCGGGCUUGCCCCGCCGGAACACCCUCAAGAAAAUCUUUAUGAACCGUUUGUCUGAGUUGCUUGCGAAUAAAAACAAAACUUUUAACAACGGAUCU
rnacentral:misc_RNA from 1 species